rnacentral:lncRNA from 1 species
CCUCCAUGCGUCACGCACCACCACCCCGAGUACGAUUUCUCGACCGCGGAGAUUGCCACCGACAAGCUGGCAUCGGUCCCGCCGAAAGACAUGGUCCGCCGGCCCUUCUUCUUCGGGCCCAAGGAAAUCUCCGCUCUGCGGAAUCACCUGCCGGCACACCUCCGCCUGAGCUCCAGCAGGUUCGAAUUGAUCACUGCAGCCAUCUGGCGCAGCCGCACCGCCGCCCUCGCCUACGACCCUGAAGACGAAGUUCGCGUUCAGUUCAUUGUGAACGCGCGGGGCCGGAAGGGGUCGCAGGCCCCUCUUCCUCCAGGCUUCUAUGGGAACGCGUUUGCGUUCACGGUGGCGUUGUCUGCAGCGGCGAAGCUGUGCGAGCAGCCGCUGGGCUACGCCCUCGAGCUAGUGAAGAAGGCGAAGGCGAAGGCGACCGACGAGUUCAUGCAGUCGGCAGUGGAUUACUUGGUUUCGAACGGCCGGCCGCACUUCACGGUGGCGAGGACGUACAUUGUUUCGGACGUGACGCGGGCCGGGUUCGAGGACGUCGACUUCGGGUGGGGGGAGGGGGUGUACGGCGGGCCGGCAAAAGGCGGCGAGGGGGAGAUUCUUGGUGUCGCGAACUACAUCACCCGGGCCAAGAACGGCAAGGGGGAGGAGGGCAUAUUUGUGGCCGUGUGCUUGCCUUCGUACGCUAUGGAGAGGUUCCAGAUGGAGAUUGAUGCUCUCACUCACGAACCAGUUUUUGAUCCCUAUGCAUGAAUGAUCACAACCAACCACUAUCUGAGAAGAGUAUAAUUUCGCCUUGGAAGCAAAGGAAAUAAGCGGUUUAGGCAUUGAAAUUAAAUACUGUUUAUUGUUUUUCCAUUUGAAAAUUAAUGAAAAUUUAAAAUCGAGUCUAUGAUUUCAAACUCCAGUCUAGUUCGGAAGGGAAGAAAAGGACCGAGAAGAAAAGAGAGUUAGAAGAGAAAUUUUUUUUUUUUUAAGUUAGGAGAGAAAAUAUAUAUUAUUUUUUAAUCGAAAUGUGAGGAGAGAAAAUAAAAGAAAUGGAGAAAAUUAGAUAGAAAGAAAGAGCAGGUUGUUUUUUUUUUUUUUUUUUUUUGUUAAAAUUUAGACAUAAAAAUGCGGAAUACGAUAGGACACAAUUUCGGAUUAGGUGACUUGGCAGCUUUCAAAUAAUUAAAAUACAGACACAUGAAUAUCGCUAAUAAAAUAUAAUAUUAUUAAUACAAUAAUAUAUAUUUAUUUUAUAUAAAAUAUUAAUUUUGAUAAAAUAUUAUUAUAUUUUUUGUGUAAAUUAAAGUUAGUAAAAUUUUUAUUGAAAGAUCAUAUAUUUUAAGAAAAUAUUCUCUACCAUAUAUAAUUUAUUUAUAUUUUAAAAAAAUAUUUGUAUGCAUUAAUCAAAAAAUUAAAAUAUUUAUUACUUUACAUUGUAUAUGUAUAAAAAAAGUAAAAUAAAAAUAUGUAUAAACAUUUUUUAAUUGUUUGUGCUAUGAAUCGGUAUUGAAUGUGUAUCCAAAAAGUGUCUAUAUUGGAUACAUGUUUGGUGUCCGUGUGUGUCUUAUAAAAGUGUCUGAGAUACGUAGAUUAAAAUUCAGAAGGGGAGAAAUUAUUAUUAUUAUUAUUAUUAUUUGAACAUGACAUUUUAGAUGUGUUGGAUAAUUCACAUGGUCCAUAUAUAUAUGCCCAUUCAAUUUAGAGACUUAAUAUGCCGGUAUAUUGUUAUGGAUAACAUCCCUCUCGUAUCUGUUCCUAGCGCAAGUGGCAAAGGACUUGGUGGUUGGUAUCCAAAGUCCCAAUUAAGUUCGAAUCCUAGUUGAUUCAUAUUUUCAGCUAAGUUUAUUUUUAAAUAAAAUAAACGAAACGGAUAGCACAUCUCUCUCGUAUCCAUGUAACUACCUAUAUAAUCACAUACAUAGAGGUGAAAAUUUAUGUGCUUUCUAUGCGGUCGCGUGUGACAAAAGAAUUAGGUGUUUCUGGAAUUCAUGGUUCUGCACUUCAGAGUGUCUAUGUGCAAAUAAAUAUUCUGAUGGGAGAAUGCAUAAAAUAAUUCCUUGGAAAUAUGAAGAUAGCUCUACUUUUUUCUUUUCUUGGUAUUUCCAAAGUAAUAGUGUUUUCAAAGACUAACAAUUGUAAAUUCCCGGCCUCCUACGUCUAUAGCCACAUUACAUAUAUACUACCAUAAAUAUAUAUAUACUAAAAAAAUAGAUUUGGCAAAUGAUAUUUGUCUUUAGGAAAUAUAUCAUUACUUCAAUUAACUUAACAGCUUUGUUUAGGGAUUUCCUAGUGAAUUUGUUCAUAAAGAGGAAAAUAAAUAUUUAACAAACUUCUGACCAUCAUUCUUCAAACCCAUUUAUUCAUUUUCUUAUAUGAGACUUAUUUUUCUGUACUUUUCCCACUCUUUGGCUUUCACUCUUCAGCUUUCCUUGUCCUUAGCAGUGCCUCUUGUAACGCUUUUCCAUUGGUCAGAUAGUUUUCCAAAACUAAAGUUUGUUGGUCUUAUUCAUGUUUUGUCAUCAAUUUUAGAAAUUUUGAGAAUCAUUUGACUUUUUUCUAUAGGAAAUAUAUCAAUUAUGUUUAAUGUAGAAAAUCUUUGAAAUUAUUUUUUUUUGAGAAAGAGGCAGCACGCUAACCGCUUCAUUCAUUGAAAGUAUGAACUAGGCUAUGUGGGUGAGGCAACCUGGGCCUCGAGAGAGCGAAAAAAAAAAAANAAAAAAAAAAAAAGGAGAGAGGGUGGGGGGGUUAGGAAGGGGUUUGCUUUGCUGGAAUAAGAUAAUCCCAUUCCGACUGUAGCUGUUUAAGCUUGUGUGCUACUAACAUAGGAUUCGGCGGAAUAUUUCUAAAGAUCAUAUCAUUUCUUGCCUUCCAAAUAGACCACCAGUUUCCUACCAAUUCGGAUAAGCUGCUUCUCGUCUUAUGGCAUCCCUUCCUAUCCCUUGCCUCUACGAUGUCCACUCCCGUCGCGAUGAUAAACUUGCUGAACACACCGCGUGAACAGGUGGUCCACUGAUUCCUCUUCCGCUCUGCAAAACACGCAAUCUAAGUUUCCUACCCAUCCACGCUUCACGAGUAAAUCGGUUGUAGGGAGCCUCUUCUUGAGAACGAGCCAACAGAACACUUUUACUUUAAGGGGAAUAUGGAGUCUCCAAAUCUUGUUUAUAGAAGGGGUCCUCAUUCCCCCGUCAGAUAACGCUAAAUAGGUUGUAUUUACCGAGAAAAGUCCGUUAGGGCUCCAACACCAAUAUAACUGGUCCGGCCUUUGUUCAACUGUGAAAUAGGAUAUCCUUUCCUUGAAUCCUACAAUGUUAUCAUUAAUCCCAACAAAAAUUUCGGGCUCCGCACCCAGAAUCCUAUGCCAGUUCCAACCGUCUCUCGUGAAGCAAUCCCUAAAUCUUUGAAAUUAUUGAACAUGUAAAUGUGAGAUUCAAAGUGGUCUAGAAUUUAGGAGAUGUGGUUUAUGAACAUAUUUUUCAUGAUCUAUUUAGUGAAAUGAUUUUAGGUGUUAGUUACUAUUUUAUAGUGAAUUGUGAGUUAAUGGCCUGUUAGUAAUGAGAACAUGCGUAAUGAGAGCUAGAAAUGUGGCAACAUGAUUUGCUAACAAUGCCUAUAAAAGAGGCACUUAUAUUUUAGUUUUGUAUUUUGAUACAAUUAAUGAAAUAUUUGUUGGGAAUUCGGUACUCGCUCCGGUACCGGAUCUUGUAAAUCCGCAACACGCUCCGAUACCGACUGCUGUGGAUUCAGUACCCAUUGUUGGGAUUCCAUAACGGAAGCUUCGAAUCGGAUUUUUACCAUAAACCCGUCUCCUCAGCGAAAACUGAUACAAUCACAAAAGAGAGAAAAAUAUGCGGGUAAAAUAAGAUUCAUUAAAUAAAAGAAUAUUACACCUGACUUCUCUUCUGCACAGAGUAGCUACAACCCGAGCCUUCUUUCUGAAUCUCUCCUACCCUUCUCUCGUCUUCUAUACUCUCGGAAGACAUCUCUCUCAUCUUGUGUAUCCGUGCACAAGGUAUACCAAUGAUCCACGGCUACGAAAGCCGCACACGUCCUUUUGCACCCAUGCACUAGGUGCAACCAAAAUCAUGACCAUCUUGGCCAUGCCAUAUGGGUGUGGCUAAUCCAUAGCACCAUCAAAAUAAUAGCAUAUAUGCUAUAUUUAUAGCUUAUAUUAAAAGCUACCCAAAUCCUAAUAUAAUUAGGAUUUCUACUCCGAUAAAUAUUUAAAUCUAUAUUUAGUUUAUCUCCAAUAGAUUUAAAUAUUUAUCCUAAUCUAGUUAGAUUUAUACUCUAAUUAAUAUUUAAAUCUUAAUUUAUCUUCAAUAGAUUUAAAUAUUAAUUCUUAUCUAACUAGUAUUCAACUACAAAUCUACCCAAAUCCUAACAUUCUCCACCUUGGUUGGAUUUGUAGCCUUCAACCGCUGCGUUGAGCUCACCAUGCAAGCUCCACCUUAACCUUGUCUCCUCCAUUCGAUGUCGUCGCAUCCGUUGCUCCGCUUCGAGCGACUACACCUUCGCGAACUUUCGGAACCCAAACCAGCUUCGCUCCAGUUCUGACUGUGCUUCCGUUCAAAACGUAUAAGUUCUCACGCUUGUUUGCCUCGCACACAACCCGAUCUCGCUUUCGGACCCUCAUAGCUCCACCUGAAGCCGAAAAAUCGCAACCCUUCGAGUCCAACGCGCCUAAACGAGAUCAAAUUGUGCUUUAAACAUCGAUCGCUUUGAACAAUCGGUAACACCGUGCUCUGACAUCGAUCUUACAAGGAUCGGAAAUACAGUGCUUUGACGUCGAUCUCUCCCAAAGAUCGGUAACCUUCAGCUCUGAUACCACUUGUUGGGAAUCUAGUACUCGUCCCGAUACCAGAUCUUGUGACUCCGCAACCCUCUCCGAUACCGACUGCUGUGGAUCCGGUACCGAUUGUUGGGAUUCCGCAACGGAAGCGUCAAAUCGGGUUUUUACUAUAAACCCGUCUCCUCAGCGAAAGCUGAUACAAUCACAAAAGAGAGAAAAAUAUGCGGGUAAAAUAAGAUUCAUUAAAUAAGAGAAUAUUACACCUGACUCCUCUUCUGCACAGAGUAGCUCCAACCCGAGCCCUCUUUCUGAAUCUCUCCUACCCUUCUCUCGUCUUCUAUACUCUCGGAAGACAUCUCUCUCAUCCUGUGUAUCCGUGCACAAGGUAUACCAAUGACCCACGACUACGAAAGCCACACGUCUUUUUGCACCCAUGCACUAGGUGCAACCAAAAUUAUGACCAUCUUGGCCAUGUCAUAUGGGUGUGGCUAAUCCAUAGCACCAUCAAAAUAAUAGCACAUAUGCUAUAUUUAUAGCUUAUAUCAAAAGCUACCCAAAUCCUAGUAUAAUUAGGAUUCCUACUCCGAUAAAUAUUUAAAUCUAUAUUUAGUUUAUCUCCAAUAGAUUUAAAUAUUUAUCCUAAUCUAGUUAUAUUUAUACUCUAAUUGAUAUUUAAAUCUUAAUUUAUAUUCAAUAGAUUUAAAUAUUAAUUCUUAUCUAACUAGGAUUCAACUACAAAUCUAUCCAAAUUCUAAUAAUAUUCAACUUUUUAAAUUACUUUGCCUAUUUCUUCAUUGGUUUGAUUGUGCUAUUUUUAUUCAACAAGCAGUUCAUGAGUCCAUCUUUUCAAGAAUCGCUAUUGCAACUACAGCAAAAGACAUUAUAGAAAGAGUUUGAGGGGGUCAUCAAAGGUAAUCAUUAUGAAGAUUUAGUCUCUUCUUCGGGACUUUGAAAUUUUGCUCAUGAGAAACAAUGAAUUGUUCUAAGAAUUUCUAUCUAGAGUUAUUUUAUAUCUGUUGUUGGCCAAAUGAAAUCAUAUGAUGAAAAGAUUUCUGAAGAAACAAUAGUUGUAAAAGCUUUGAGAAGAUUGACUACAAACAAUGAUCAUGCAUGUUGCUGUUGCGAUUGAGGAAUCUAAGGACUUAUCUUUUUUUUUCAUUUGAUGAACUAAUAGGUUCAUCGCAAGCUCAUGAUGCUAGAAUCAACAUAUCAACUGAGAAAAUCGAAAAAGGCGGAGGAGACUUCUAUACAAAAAGAUAAGCUUGUUUGUAACGAGAGAUCGCGGUCGAGGUGGAUUCUGUGGCCGAGGUCGUGGUCGAGGCCAAGGCCGUGGGCGGUUUGAUGAGUAGUGACAAUCGUCCAAUAAGUAUUGAGGCAAUCGGAGUGGAAUCCAUUGCAACCGUUGCAAUAAAUUUGGGCACAUAGAGGCAAAUUGUUAGAGCAAAAUAAAGCAUGCAGCAAGCUAUGUAAAAGAUAAAGAAAAUGAAAGUAAGCUGUUCGUGACUUGUUAUCAUAUUAAUAAUGCAUUAAAUGAAAUUUGAUUUUUAGAUAGUGGAUAUUCUAACCAUACGUCAGGAGUGAGAUCUAUGUUUCAAGAUAUCGAUGAAUCACAAAAAAUGCAAGUUAGUGGGUUAUUAAUAAUGGGGUCAUGAGAGCUAGAAAUGUAGCAACAUAAUUUGCCGACAAUACCUAUAAACGAGGCACUCAUUCUUUUUUUUUUUAAUAUAAUUAAUAAAUAUCCCACUUUUUAAAUUACCUUUGUCUAUUUUCCAUUAGUCUAUGACUAGUAGCAUAGAAAACCGAUUCCACCUCCCAUCUCCAACGGAAAUAUCAAUGGCAAUUAAGGCAUUUCAGAAUUCUUUAAUUUGUCCUAUUGGAUGAUUUUAGCAAGUCAUCUUCUGUCAUCUGAAAGUACAAUUGUAAAAUUAAUGGAUAUUGGAGAAAUUUAGUUCUUCGGCUCUAAUUUAUUUGAUUUAAGCCACCAUUUGGAUGCAUGAAUAAUUUGAUGUAGUAUAUGAUCAUUUUAAUUAAUUCAAAAAAGCUAGUAAUAUUGAGUUGAUCAAGAAUACGAUUAAAUGUUUAGAAUGAAUAUUACAUACCACUUUCUAAUUAUUUUUUUAGAAUAAAAUAAUUCGUUUUAUGGGUACAAUAUUCUAUUAUACCAAAUCAUAGAUGUGAAGAUUUUUAAAAGAGCAACAUCAAAUUCGUUGCUUCCUAUCAUAAGAAAAAAUUUUAUACUAAGUAUAUAGGCUAUCUAAUAACAACUUAUUCCAACAUUUAAAUAAGACCUUGGAUGCUAUAUAUAUACCCAAUUUGGAAUGUAUAUCCUACAUUUCAUCCAUCUAAUGUGUGAGGUGUUUCCAGCAGUCACAUCAUAUGACUGGUAGUUAACACUCCACUCAUUGGAUGGAUGGGAUGUAACUUGCACAUUCCGGAUGGAGUGUACAAGGAACAUUUUUUAUUGAGAUUUAAAGGAGCGUACGUACGUAGUGGGCCAAGCUCCCAAUUGUCAGAAAAAAAAAAACACAAAAGAAAAUUAAGAAAAGGAAAAACUUAUUAUACUCCACCACAACAUCCAUUAUGAAAAUGGACAAGAAAUAUUUGGAUAAUGCUUUGAUGUGCAUCAGUGAAAAUUAAUUUCAGACUUCUCAACAUUAAUUCUUCUUAAUAAACUAAGAAUAAUCAAUUCAUUUGAUGCUGUAAAUGCAGUCAUGUUUUCGAUUAUAAACUAUAUAUUAAAACAUUCGUUGCGUUGUUCAUGUUCACUAUCAACCAUGGAAGAAAAACUCAAAAUUUUAAGUUUUGAGUUUAUUUUAUUUGUAUUUAAUAUUUAUCUAAUAUGUAUUAUUUUUUAGGCUAAAUUAUAUAAAAUUUCUCUGUCAAAAUCCGAUUUUUCACUUUCACCCCUGUCAUUUAAAACCUACACUUUGCCUCCUUGUAAAAUAAAAAAUAUUCACAGAAGGUACGGUGUGUAAAAUGACUAUUUUGCUCCUCACCAUUGUCGUCUCCUCCAUCAUCUUCCUCAACCGCCGCCUCGAUCGGCCGCGAUUCACACCUCGAUUGGCCACGAUUUCUCUCUAUUUUCUUCUCCCCCUUUUCCCCUUCUCCUCCUGCACCAUCGCCGCCCCUCGAUUUCGGCGGCAGUAGGGAGGAAAUCGAGGUGGGCAUUGAUGGAGAGGUAGGCAAGGGCAACGAUGGCGAAGGCGAGGUGACGGAGGACGGCGAAGGGGAUGUGGGCGAGGGUGAGGCAGUGGAGGAGGGCGAGGCGGCGAGGCGACGAGCCGGAGGGAGGCGAAGCAACAGAAAAGAGGGCGGAGGGAUAUUUUUGGCAUAAAAAAAUAUUUUAUAACAGAACCCUAACGGCAGGGAGUGAAGUGCAUAUUUUUUAUUUUAUAAGGCGGCAAAGUAUAGGUUUUUAAACAACAGGGAGGGAAAGUAAAAAAUCGAAUUUUGACAGGAUGAUUUUCUGUAAUUUAGCCUAAUUUUUAUUAAUUAUUACUAUAUGUUGUUUAUUAUUUAUUAUUUAUCUUAUUUUCUUUCUGGGGAUGACAGAAAAUCCAACAAUUUUUUUUUUUAAUUCAAAUUCCUGCAUCUCACGGGAGAGAAUGUGGUUCGAAAACGUUCCACUCCCUUAUCCGUAUAUAUUUCCUUCCUUGUUCUUACAGGGAAGGACGACAGAUAUUGAAAAGAAAAAUAUAGAAAAAUUAGAGAUUUUCUACUUUUUUUUUGGAAUUCUUCACUGCUUUGUAUAUUCUCUCACACAACAUGUGCUGUAGCUUUUAAAAAAAUUUGUUCUGGACGCGCAGAACUUGAACCGCAUUGAUUUCACUGCAGGUACUAUAUUUCUCUGUAGGCUACGUUUGGUUCAGGUAUAAGUAAGAACUGCUUAUUACAGGGAUAGGUACAAGUUCAGAUAUAAGCAGGAACUAGAUCAAUUUUGCGUUUGGAUGAAAAUUGAGUUAUUCCUAGGAAUGAGGUAAAUAGCGUUUGGAUGGUUAAAUUGGAACAAGAGGAAUAAAAGUUAUAAUUUGAAAUCAAAAUUAUAUUAUCUAAUUAAUUAACAUCAAAAUAUUACUUAAAAAUAAAUAAUAAAUAAAUUAUUAAUAAAUAAUUAUAAAUAAUAAUAAUUAUUAAUUAUUAAUUAUUAUUAUUAAUUAAUUAUUAUUAAUUAUUUAUAAUUAUUUACAAGUAAUAAAUUAAUUAAUUAUUAAUAAAUUAUUAAUAAUUAUUAAUUAAUUAAUUAAUUAUUAAUAAUUAUUAAUUAAUUAAUUAAUUAUUAAUAAUUAUUUAUAAGUAAUAAAUUAAUUAAUAAUAAUUAUCUAAUUAUUAAUAAUUAAUUAUAAAUAAUAAAUUAAUAAUUAUUACUAUCUAAUUAUAAAAAAUAAUUCUAAAUAAUAAAUUAUUAUUUAUUUUUAUUAUUUAAGCAAUAGAUAAUAAUUCAAAUAUAUUAAUUAGAUUAAUUAAUAAUUUACUAUUAUUAAAAUUUAAAUUUAGAUUUAAUUAACCUUGUUCUCAUUCGGGAACAAGCUUGUUCCAGAAAAAGAUGGAACAGCAGUUCCAGUCAGUUCCAGAAACCCGAGAACUACUGUUCUCGGAUACCAAACGCUACAUUUGGGAACAAAAGGAGGAACAAGGGCUUAUUCUCCCCUUUGUUUCCGAACCAAACACUACCUACGGGACUUGAACCCACAACAACUACCCUCAACAAUUCUACAAUUCGAAUUCUUGGAGAAGGCGAGUGGACCUGUUCCAAAGUCAAGUCGAAAGGGUUACUUUGCGGAGUGGACCUCUCCGAUGCCGAAUCUCUGCGGCUCUGCAAGCUCCUCCGUGAAGAAGCUAACGGCUGAUUUGUGCGAACUCGAGCUAUUUCUGUGUUCGUCGCUUUUGUGUGUGAGGUCGUCUAUCCUUUGCGAUGUUUAACAUCCUUAGCUGGAAUGUCCGUGGUCUUAACGACGCUGUCAAGCGUCGUAAUGUCAAGUCUGUAGUGUCUUCCCUUUUUUGUACUGUGGUUUGUUUUCAAGAAUCCAAAGUUGAGUCCGUGUCGCGCUCCUUUCUCCGCACCUGCUGUGGUUCUAUCUUCGAUAAGUGUCACUUCAUCGCCGCGUCCGGGGCUUCCGGUGGUUUGAUCACUUGCUGGUCUUCGAAAUUCUUCUCAUGCAAUGAAGCUAUUUUCCGUCAACAUUCGCUCACCCUUCAACUGACCCACCUCGCAAGUGGAAAAGUCUUCUAUCUCACUAACGUUUACGGGCCGCCUACCUGGGAUGGAAAGGAAGACUUUUGCUCUGAAUUGCUCUCUCUUAACGGGACUUGCAACAACAGAUGGGUGAUCUGUGGGGAUUUCAACUUCACCAAAAGUCAAGAGGAAAGGAUAGGAAAUGUUUGGAGCUCCAGAGCUACGGCCAUGUUCUCCGACCUUAUUACCAACCUGGCGGCUAUAGACUUACCCAUCUCCAAUCAGUUGUUCACCUGGUCGAACAUGCAGCAUAGGCCUAGCUUGGCUAAACUCGACAGGUUCCUCGUCUCAACGGAUUGGGACCAAACCUAUCCUCUAAGCAAAGUCAAAGCCCUCCCUCGGAUCACUUCCGACCACACACCCAUUGUACUAUCUACCGGGUUCCCCCCUUCAACCCGGAGGUUUCGGUUUGAGCGCGUCUGGCUUACUAAGGAGGACUUCGUCUCUAAAGUUUCGCGUUGGUGGAACGAAGUCGCUCCUAAGACCUCGGCAAUCCUCACGAUAACAGCCAAACUCAGACACUGCAGAAACAGAAUCAAGGAAUGGUGCAAGACAAAUUUUUACUGCAUUUCUUCCACCAAAAGGCGGCUGCAGGAUGAAAUUCAAAGCUUAGAUCUUCUAGAAGAACGCACUACCUUGACACCGGCUUCUCUACAGAGACGGGUUGCCUUAAAAGCUCAGCUACAGACUAUUCUACAAGAAGAAGAAAUCCUAUGGAAAAUUAGGUCGAAAGAACAUUGGCUCAAGGAAGGCGAUCGCAAUACUAAAUUCUUCCACGCGGUUGCCAACGGGAGGAAACGCUCCAACGUCAUCGAACUUAUUGAAGACGACUUUGGUCAUACUAUCUACAACGAACAUCACAAGCGAGCCCACUUCUUCAACUCCUUCAACCACCUCUUUGGCCGCGCUGAGGACCCUUCAGUGUCCCACGGAUACUGGAGUGGGUUGUAUCACACCAAUAGGCUGAUCAACCCGGAAACUCUAACAAGCUCGUUCACGCUCGAUGAAGUCAAGACAGCAACUUUUCAACUAGGUAGCGACAAAGCUCCGGGGCCAGACGGCUUCCCCCUUAUUUUCUUUCAAUCUUUCUGGGAGACCGUCAAGGAGGACAUUUUUAACAUCUUUCUAGACCUCCAGGAAGACAAAUUAUUUUCUGGGCCGAUCGACUAUUCUUUCGUCUGCCUUAUCCCAAAAAAGGAAGGAGCGCGAAAAGUAAACGACUUUCGCCCAAUUAGUCUCAUUAACGGCAUCCAAAAAAUCAUCUCUAAGGUCCUGGCCAACAGAUUAUCACGUUCUCUACCAAAUAUCAUCUCCUCUACUCAAUCAGCCUUCAUCAAAGAUCGACAGCUGGCCGAUUCCUUUGUCGCCGCUAGCGAAUUACUCAACUGGUGCACCAAAUCGAAUACGGAAUGCGUGAGCAUAAAGGUAGAUUUCGAAAAAGCAUUCGAUAACAUCAAUUGGGCAUUCCUAAAAAACAUCAUGCACUGGCUUGGAUUCAGCGACAAAUGGUGGGGUUGGAUUGAACAAUGUAUCAGCAACGCCAAAGUAGCAAUACUCGUGAAUGAUAUCCCGACGAAGUGGCUCAAGACAAGGAAGGGAAUUAGACAGGGCGACCCUCUAUCUCCUUACCUCUUCAUACUUGUGGCCGACUGCCUGGCCAGGAUAACUCAAGCCGCUGCGGAAAAUAACAUGUUACACGGAAUUGGCCCCAACGAUGACUGCAAAACGACGCUCCUACAAUACGCAGAUGACACAAUCUUUUUUUGCUAGCCGCGGAAACGAUACAUGCGAAACCUCAAAUUUGUUUGGAAAAUCUUCGAAUGGGCUUCCGGUUUACGAAUCAAUAAAAGCAAAACGGAGUUAAUUUACCUUGGCGCGAACCCAACCAAGAGCGACAGACUAGCUGAUAUCUUGCAUUGCCAGGUGGGCAAACUACCUUUCCGCUACUUGGGACUGCCUCUCCACAAUAAGCCCCUUCGUAAGGAAGACUGGUCAGUCGUAAUCAAUCGCAUAGGAUUGCGAAUCGAAGGAUGGAAAGCUAAACUACUAUCUCAAGGAGGAAGGCUUAUUCUUAUUAACUCUGUCCUAACCAACCUACCGCUUUUCUACCUUUCGAUUUUCAAGGCUCCACGGUGGGUGCUACUUAGAAUCGAAGCCUUACGAAGAGCCUUUUUCUGGAAAGGCUGCUCCAAAAUUGCCGGGGGAGCCUGCCUCGUUAAUUGGAAAACCGUUUGUAAGAGCAAGGCCGAAGGAGGACUAGGAAUAAAAAACGUGGAUUCAAUGAAUUUAGCUCUCCUUUCUAAAUGGUGGUGGCGUUUUCUGACUGAGCCACACCUGCCUUGGUGUAACCUUAUUAAACAACUCUACUACUCGAGAAGAAGACCACUACACGAGGGAAAUACCUUUGUACCCUUCUCACAGUGGUGGAGAGGAGUGAUUCGGUGCCGAGAAGUGUUUAAAUGUGGCAUUUCUUAUGGCAUGGGUGAUGGAAGCAGCAUCAGGCUAUGGAAGGACAUUUGGAUCGGGGAAACACCGCUGAGCACAGAAUUUCCAGAUAUUUUCUCGGCUAUCAGGAACAAGGAUGUCCGAAUUUCCCAAUGCUGGAAUCAUCUCGGCUGGAGAUGGCGUUUCAUCUGUACAGGAUUCUUAGCCUCAGCCUCCUCGGGAAAUAGAAGACAGUUAGCACUCCUAAAGGAACGCCUACUUCAGUUCUCCCCAAGCACAAGACCGGACUCACUUAUAUGGAGGUGGACCUCUCACGGCAAAUUCACUGUUAACUCAUUGUACAAAUUUAUCACCUUCGCCGGACAAAGUGAGCCGAUCAAUCAACACCUGUGGAAACUUAAGAUCCCGGUUAAAAUCAAAACCUUCGUCUGGUUGCUCCUGCGCAAGAGGCUGCUCACGGCUGACAGAUUGAUUAGGCGAGGGGCACAAUUGGACCCUUCCUGCGUCCUUUGUGCUGCCUCCCUGGAAUGUGCCGACCACCUCUUCUGCAACUGUGUCUUCGCCCGUUUUCUUCUUCGACGACGGGCGGGGGCACACAACUUGGCUUCGGGCGGGGACGUACGAGGACUUUGGAGUCUAAUUUCACAGACGCCCGACGCCUCUUUAAGAUCCAAAGGUCUAACCAAGCUUGCGGCCACUUGGUGGGUCCUCUGAACUGAGCGAAACAACUUCGUCUUCCGUUCUAGUCUCCCCAACGUCGAGAGAGCUUUGGACAGAGCCUCAACCCUGUUUAGUGACUGGAGCUCACUCAUGUAACCAAUUUCCCCUCCCCCACUUUCUUUUUUAUAAAUUCUUCCUUCCUUCUUUCGCCACUUUUGUUUUGUUUCUCUGUUCUCUGAGUUCGCUUUUUGCCAAGGAAGCCUUAGCUGCUUCCACCUUGUAAGCUUAGUUCACUUUUCCUUACUGAAUGAAGCACAGCGGGCUAGGUGCUACCUUUCUCUCAAAAAAAAAAAAAAAAAAUUUCUACAAUUUAAGUUAAAUGUUCCACAACUUGAUCCAACUCAAUUUGUUGUUAUUGUUUCUAAUCUUUUUAUAUCAUGAAUAUUACUCAUAAUAUAUAGUGUUGUUUCCAUCUAAAAUUUACUGUACCUGAAAAUAUUUAAUUAAGUCAAAUAAUCCAACUAACAACGAUAAUCAACUAUUAUAUUUCUUAAAAAAAAUUGAAUAUUUUUUUUGCAGUUAUUUCUACUCAUCUUUAAAUAUCUUUAUUCUCAUCAAUUAGAUUUUAAAAUGGUACAUUUCGAAUUUGUAGAACUGAAAAGUUUAUAGAAGUAGGCUUCGUUAGGUGGCAAAAGUAAUUGAAGCCUAACGUAAUACCUUAGAUUUCAAAAACUGCAUUUGGAAAAAAAAAAAAAAAGAAAAAAAAAAAAAGAAAAAAAAAAGAGCUUUCAACCUACUAAAAGUUGUUUUGCCUAAUCUCCGUAGAUUCUUCAAAAUCAAAAGUUUAUUCUAAACUAAAGGAAUUAAAAGUUUCUUAAACAAUUAAAUAUGUUGAAUUCGUUAUUAUCAACAUUGAAUUUGUUAAAAUUAACACAAAAUUCUCUUAUUUAAAUUUAAUAUUUAUUAUAUAUAUUAUAUAUAACGUAAAAAAAUUUGGGUUUUUGGUCCGUUUUGGUAUUCGGAUUAGAUACAAUUAAAAUCCAUACCCGAAUUUAAAUAUGUCGAAUUUUCAUUUUUGAUAUCCACAUUCAAAAUACUAUAUCUAUUUAGCAAUUAGUAUAGGUAAAUUCACUAUGUACGCCUUUUGUGUUUGAUUCGAAUUCAGAUAAACUAUGGAUAUAUGUACCAUUGAAAUCCGUAAUCCACAGAUAUUUUGUCAUUUUCAAAUCCGUAAUGUAUAAAUAUUUCAUUAAAAAAUAUUAUAAUAUAUUAAUUAAAUACACUGAAUUUAAUUUUUUUACCUAAUUCAAAUUUUUUAAGUUUGUAAUAAAAAAUUAAAUAUUCGUAAGCUAAAGGUAAUUUAAAAGUUUCUUAAACAAAUUAAAUAUGUUGAAUUCGUUAUUAUCAACAUUAAAUUUGUUAAAAUAGUAACACAAAAUUUCUCUUAUUUAAAUUUAAAUAUUUAAAUUCAACAUAUUUAUUAUUAUUUCUAAAAUUUCUAAAAUUUAAAUUAAUGCGUAAAUUAGAAGAAUUCUAAAAUUUCUAAAAUUAAUGUCUAAAAUUUGGGAUAUCAAUCAAAUUUUAAAUUAAUGCUUAAAUUUGUUGCAAAAUUAAUACUAAAUUUGGGAUAUUGGUCAAAACUUUCUUAAAAUUUUACCUAGUUUAUUACAAAAUUACCCUCACAUGAAAUAACCUUUUAACCACUACAUAAUGAAAUGAAAUUUUAACCAUUGUUAAUCAACGAUAAUUUUUUUAUUUUUUAUAAAAUAAAGUACGAAAUCAUUUCUCAUUACUUAUAUAUUCAUAAAAAAAAUUUCAGACUUUCUUAUUUAUCCCGUUUAGAAGGUUCAUAUAAAAAAAAAAAACUCUUUUAAAGUUUCGUGUGCCGUACCGGUCGCAUGCGAAGCACGGAUGUGCGGAGCAUGGGCGUGCGGAGUGUCGCGCUAGUCGCUAGCGUUGGGAGAUAGACGAGCUUGUGGCACAACUUUCGUAGGCACCGCGCCCUGCGAAUCCCCGCUCAGCACACUUGCCUUCGUGAGCCUUGCCCUCUACGGCGGGCCAUCCAUCGCAAGACUAAUCCUCAUCCGCUUGCGCGCUCCCCCACAGAUAUCCGAGACGGCAUAAAGUAGUGCAAGCGAUCCUAGGACCAAAGCCUCUCGGAUGCUUCCCGCUCCAUAAUGUCAUCGACCUCUGUCUCCGACACGACAUUGCCCUAGGCCCGCGACUCUUCAACCAUCCGUUGCACAUUCACACGAAACACUAGGCUUGGCUACUCCGCUAGCCAAGAGACGACCCAUGUCUUAUGAGUCGCGGGGUCUUUCAAAUAUAUUUCAACAGUUAAAUUCAGUUAAUAAACGGUUAGGAACGACCGUUAUCUCUAUAAAAUUAAUAUUUUGUCCUUUCACAUAUAUUGUUCUACCGCCGCCAACUUUUUUAUGCCCCUUAAGUUAGUAAUAAAAAAAAUAUUUUAAUCUUUUGUGCUUUCAAAUAUACAUUUUUAUCGUCAUCAACUUUUCUUAUUUAUUCUCAAGUUAGGGACAAAGAGGUAUUCGACUUCUUUCUAAUUUUGCUAGAAACUUAAUUCGAAUUUAAUCCAAGAUUACUUAUCAGGUACUGUGACGGAUUAUUUUUGAAUAAUAGAAAAUAAUAUGAGGACACAUUUGAAAUAAAAAAUAAAAAUAUAUAAAAUACGUUAAAAAUUUUAAGAGAUAUAUAAGUAAUUAUCCAUCUAUCUAUAAUCUAUAAUCUAUAAUCUAUAACUAUAUAUUAUUCCUCAAUAACUGCACACGUGUCGCGAGGAGGCUGUGGCGCGGGCGAGGGCGCGGGCCCGGGCGGCCGCGGGCGCUGGUGCGGGCCGGGCCGGCGAGGGAGAAGAGCGCAGGCCCGGGCCCGCGUGCGGGGGCGGGCUCCGGCGCUGGCGCCGCGUGGCGAGGGCGGGCCCUGGCGCGGGGACCCGGGAUAAGUAAUUAUACAAGAAUUAGAAUCAUAAUAGACAAAUCGGUGUUUGACAUGCGAGAGUUCGACUCUAAUUCUAAUUUUUGGGUAAAUAGGAAUUCUUCAAUCAUUUAUUUUUUCAAUCCAGCCUAAGAGGCCGGAUUUGAAGUUAAAUUCAAGUGGAAAGAAUACACUUUAUGAAACUAUCUCAAUUACAUUUUAUAUUGUUACUUUAAAAUUUAAUUUAAUUUUUUGACUUUGAUAAUUAAUUAAAAUAUAAAUUGAAAUUAGGAAAUUAGAAUUUUUGACUCUAGAUUUUGAUUUAGAAAUUAAAUUAAAAUAUAAAUUCUAUCAAGCAUUUUAAUUUGGUCCAUAAAUUUAAAUUUAAAUUUAAUUGGAUCAAAUCAAAAAUUAGUUUCAUAUUUUGAAUUGACCACUCAAUUUUAAAUUUUAAAAUUUUGACUCAUCAUUUCAAUAUUUUGGUAUAAAUUUUUUAAUAUUUAACAAUUAGUUUGAAUUUAAAUUAUAAAUUUAGUUUCAUAUUUUGAGGUGCAAACUCAAUUUUAAGUUAUUUUUAUAUUUUACAUUUUAAUUUUAAUUUUAAUUUUUGAUAAUCAGAAUUUUUUAGAUGUUGAAAGUAAGAAUCAAUCAUACUGAUUCCAAUUGUUAUUCUAAAUCAAACAUCCAAUUGUUAUUCUAAAUCAAACAUAUUGGGUCCUAUCACUUCGUUUCUUAUACCGAUUCUUUUUUUUAUUUUGAACCAAAUGCACCCUUAGUUCGAAUAGCUGAAAGGAACCGUUGGGUUAAGAUUUUUAAUUAGCCCAAAAUGUAAUACAUAUAUUUAAUAUUUGGAAUUGCAAGUUAUGUUAUUAACUUACUAAACAACUUGAAUUGAAAAAUAUUUACAAGUUAAUAUAUUUUUAUUAAUGAAAUACUAAUAAUUUUUAUCAAGAAAAUGAAAAUUUCUCCUAACCCACGAUAAUUUAACAUUUUAAUCAUCUGAAAACUUAUAAUGAUUCUACUACUACAGUAACAUAUUAUACAAUUAUCUAACUUAAAUUGAAUGAUAAUAACUUAAAUAAUUUUAAUUAAAAAAUAUGAAUAAUUAUUAAAAUACUACAAACCAUAAAUCAAACUUAAGAGCAGUGGUCAAACUAUGCGUCGAUCUACGUGGAUCUAAGUUGAAUCCGCCUAAAUAACGUACGGUGGCUGUUGACUCUUUUAGAGGGAGUUGACGUUGACCCUUCCCUUAUAGUGGGCGAUGGCCUAAAUAUGCUUUUCUUUUCUUUUUUUUAUGGGGUAAAUUGCACUACUGGUUUCUUAACUUUGAGUCAAGUUUUAUAUAAUUUGGUGUUCAAAUUUUUAUUUUUACUCACUAUUUUUAGUACAAUUGGCUAAAGAUUUGGUAAUUAAUUAUUUGAGAUUUCAAAUUCGAAGCAUAAACUUUUAUUUGUAGGAUACUUUAUUUUUUAAAAAAUAUUGAACAAAACAGAUAUCAAUCUCUCUCAAAAGAAAAAAAGAAAAAUGGAUAUGUGAGAUUGUAAAUUUAAUAAAAUUUGGUUGCUUGAAAGUAGUUGAAGUGAAAAAAGCUAUUUUUACAAAAGCGUCAUUUACAAAAUUAAGUGCUUUUGAGUUCGAUUGUUAGUUAGCUAUAAAGUAAAAAAAAUUAUGGUUUUGUAGUUUCGAUUGUUUAAUUAUUUUAUUACAUCUAAUUUGUAUUCAUGAUUUUGAAUCAAAUUUUGAAUUUACUAUUAGAUUAUAAAUUUUGAAUUCGGACGUGAAUUCAUAAUUUGAAUUAAAUUUUAAAUUUAAAUUAAAAUUUGAGUUUAAAUUAUAAUUCAAAUUGAUCAUUUAAAUUUAUAAAUUCAAAUUGAUCAUUUAAAUUUAUAAAUCAAAUUCAAAGUUCAAACUAAAACUUAUUAUUGAAAUUAAAUUCAAAUUUAAGCAUAAAAGUUUAUAUUUUGAAUUCAUGUUUCAAUAGAUAAUUUGAAUUUAUAGUUUGAAACAAUUUGAAUUUAAAGUUCAAAAUGAGGCUCCGAGCUAAAAGAAAUUUGCAUAAAAUUAAAAUUUAGAUAUUUUAAUUUAAAUUUUAAUUUCAAAUUUAAAUAAAAAUUUAAAUGUAAACUUUAAAUUUAAAUAUAAAUUUGUAAAUGUAAAUUUAAAAUUUAAUUUGCUAUUGAAUUUGAAAUUACAAAUAAUAUUCAAAAUGUGAAAUUAAAUUUAUAAUUUUAAUUCAAAUUCAAAUUAAAAUUUAACUCUAAAACUAAAUUCAAAAAUUAAAGUUAAAAUCAAAUAUAACAUUUUAGAUAAACUCUUCAUUUUCAUUGACUUCAGAAUUUUAGGAGCUGAAGUUAAAACGUGAGGUUUAAUUAUAAAUCACUUUCUUAACCCACUUUUGUAAAAUGAGCAGCUUUUAUAUCCAUUUUCGUAAACCAAAUGAUGGAUAAAGCGUCGCUUGUUUUAAAGUAUUAUUUUCACUGCUUUACAUUCAACCAAUCAAACAUGUUCAAGUAAGAGGAGUAUUUUAUGUGAGAUGUGCUCCGUGUUCUUUUAAAAGUGAUGGACGAAAUCAAACUUUUAAAAGCAAUGAACUAUUCACUGUUUCUACGGAACUACACAAUUUUUUUUAAAGCGGUGAAUCUUUCACUAUUUUUAUAAAAACAGUAAAUAAUUCACUAUUUUUCUUUUUAUUUUUUCCGACCUGACUUCGCGCCGCUGAAUAAAAUUUAGAUUUAGAACUAAAAAUUUUAUUUUAAAAUAAAUUUUUUUAGACACAACUUGUGAGCUAAAACCCCCCAAAUGCAGCUAGCAAUGUGAGAGUGCGUUCUUAUCCGUUCAUUCAUCAAAGUAUCUAUUCAGUGGGAGCGGAAGAUUAAUGUGCACGUUCUCUGAAGACCAACCAGCUUGGCAUGUUGACUGACCAACCCCAUAUAUAAACUUAUAAAUAGGGCGUUCAAGUGCACUUACUCUCAGUUAAUGCAGCACCAAUUUAAGCUCAGCCCGAUUCAAACACCGAACUUUACCUUACAUCCCUCGAAAUCAAAAUCAAGCUCAUUCUCGCUCCAUGGAAUCCUCAUCUCCGGUUUUCGCGGUGCGACGGGGCGAGCUCGAGCUCGUGGCGCCGGCGGAGCCGACGCCGCGCGAGCUCAAGCCGCUGUCCGACGUCGACGACCAAGAAGGCCUGCGGUUCUACAGCUCCGGAAUCCACGUCUACCGAAGCAGCAAUGGUGCGAAAGACGGCGAGGACCCGGCGACGGUGAUAAGAGACGCUCUUGCGAAGGCGCUUGUGUUCUACUACACUCUCGCGGGCCGCCUCCGGGAGGGCGCGGGUAGGAAGCUGGCCGUGGAAUGCACGGCGGAGGGCGCCGUGUUUGCGGAGGCUGAUGCUGACGUCCGGCUCGAUGAUCUUGAAGGCGCGCUCUGCCCGCCGUUCCCUUGCCAUGAGGAGCUGCUCUGCCCGCUCCAGCAGGGUUCUACUGGAAGUUACAUCGUCGACUGCCCUCUCCUCUAUAUUCAGGUAGUUUUUCUGUAGUUUUUUCUUCGUGUGCCACAUAUUAAUAAUAAUAAUUAAAAAAAUACUAAGUCCACAAUUUUUUUAAAAAAUAUAUCUUACAAUCCUCUAUAUAUUGAAGGGUUUACAAAAUUGCUUAUCGCUGGUAGCUAAUUAAAAAAAAAAAAAAAGAAGUGACAAGAUAUAUAGUAAAACUGUAAAUUUAUACUUCUUUUCAAUUGUAGAUCUAAAAAAGCUUUAGUGAAAUGUUCCAAGGGCAUUUGAUAUAUGUCAGAACUAAAACCGAGAAGAUCUAGUACGUCGGGUGGAAAAAUACUAGAAAGAGAUCCGAGAAAGAGAGAAGAAAAAUGAAGCACACAAUAUUUACGUGGUUCGGCCACCAGCCUACGUCCACGGGCAAAAACAAAGCAGAGAUCUUUAUUAUAAUCAAAGUGGUGUACAAAAUAUGCCUCUCUCGUAAAACACUAAUUACAAAAAUACAUUCAUAUUUCCUCUCUCAUCUGCCGCACCAAAUUAAUAGCAAAAAGAGUAUAUUUAUAAUAGUGGCUAAAUCCUAAUACGAUUAGAAAUACAAAUCCACUAAGACUAGGAAUAUCUUAACUAGAUUAGGUAUAAUCUAAACUUAACUUGAUGGGAUAAUCAAAACAGAAUAGGAUUAGAAAACCUUACAGUACUAAAAUUCGAGACAUAUUUAACAAUAUAUAUUGUUGCCUAUCUGCUUCAUAAAUGUAUAUAAAAUAAUGAAAACUCUUUGCAUCAUAUAUAUACUAACACCCCAACAUAAAGACGCUAUAAUUUCUGAAUGCUACACUACAACAAAAACGGUCUAUAGCGACACUUUUAAAUGUAGGUACAUGUCAAAAAAGUGCUGUUAGCUAAAUUAUCGACACUUUUAAAAAGUGUUGCUAUAUGUGGGGUCGCUAGGUAUAUAGUGACAGCUAAAGAGUGUCGCUAUAACCUACAAGAGUGCUGCUAAUUUACCAAUACUUAUUUAAGCAUUUAGCAACCGCCGAAACUCAUCUCGUUGGCUGCGGUGGCGGAGGAGGACGACAGUAAAGACUUUUCGUCUAGAAUUUCAGUAGAUUGAGUGAAGAGAGAAGAAAAGAUGGUAAUUGAUUUUUCUUUUUUUUUUCUUUUCUGUUUGUAAUCGGGCCAAAUGGACUAGGUGUGGUGGGUUGAGUAAAGUAAUCUUUUAUUUUUGGUUGGAUUGGGCUUUAUAUUUAGGCAUUAGUAGAUGUGUUUUUAAGUUUUAGCGUAAAUGGGACACUUACUCAAAAGUGUCCCAAACAUGUGUCCCUAUAACCUAAUUCUGUUAUAGUGCUAGCAGUCCUCAUUAGUCAUAUAUUGCAAGAUUCAAAUAAACGGCAAACUAACUAACUGUUGAUUGUAGUUAAUUAAUGUUUUACUUAUCAAUUAAUGAAGAUUAAUAUAAUAAUGUCGUUGCAUGCAGGUGACGCGGCUCAAGUGCGGAGGCUUCAUCUUCGGCCUAAGGAUCAACCAUACCAUUGCCGACGCCCCGGGGGUGAUGCAGUUCCUCAAGGCCCUCGGCGAGCUGGCGCGCGGCGCGGCCGCCCCCUCCGUCAGACCCGUGUGGGCCCGCGACCUCCUCACUGCCCGCUCUCCGCCAUGCAUCACGCACGACCACCCCGAGUACGAGUUCUCGACUGAAGAGAUAGCCAAGGACAAGCUGACGUCGGUCCUCCCAAAAGACAUGGUCCGCCGGCCCAUCUUCUUCGGCCCCAAGGAAAUCUCCGCUCUGCGGAAUCACCUGCCGGCACACCUCCGCAUGAGCUCCAGCAGGUUCGAAUUGAUCACUGCAGCCAUCUGGCGCAGCCGCACCGCCGCCCUCGCCUACGGCCCCGAAGACGAAGUUCGCGUUCAGUUCAUCGUGAA